UAUAAAUCCGUGCUGAUCUGGAGAUAUAAGUGAUUUGCAGAGAUGCUGCAAGUGCGGAGUUAAAAGUUUCUCGAACAUUUUAGGAAUAGCGGAUAACUUAGAUAUACCUCUAUAGUUUUUAGCGUCAGACUUGCUACCUUUCUUAUGGAGAGGAAUUAUAAAGGAUUCCUUCCAGGUGGGGGGAAAGCUAGAAGAAUGGAUAGAUAGAGUGAAUAGUUUAAGCAAAGGUCCGCAGAGAGACUCGGCACAGUACCUGAGUACACAGCCGGGAACUCCGUCAGGGCCCGGUGAGAAUACCGGCUUAACUAAUUGAAGUUCAUGAAGUAAGGAGCCUUCAUUUAACAAAGGGCAGAAAAUGCCAUUCGACCUUGGUAAACUAUAUGGAUACAUAUGACCUGGGUAGCUUUCCUGGGAAUAUGUGGUUUGAAAAAAUUUUGCAAAAAGAUCGGCGAUUGCCUGAUCAUUGUUUGCCGACAUAUUCAAAAAUGAUAGCGAGGAUGGAUGUGCGGACGUUCUACGCUUACUGUUUACGAAGCUGUAAAACUGUUUAGGGUCCUUUGAAAAACGUAUCCUGCAUCGAAGGAGGUAGUUCCUAUAGCAUUGAGCAUUUAGAACAGUGAAGUUUGACCGAGCUAUUAAGUAAUUAGAAAGAGAAGAGGGAGAACCAACUUCUUGAGAUUUUUUAAAUAGUCUUGAUUUUAGAUUUUUUAGACUGGAUAACUCUUUGGUGAACCNCAGAGG
rnacentral:lncRNA from 1 species